rnacentral:rRNA from 1 species
AGUGAACGUUGGCGGCGUGGAUUAGGCAUGCAAGUCGUGCGGAAAGGCCCCGCAAGGGGCACUCGAGCGGCGAAAGGGAGAGUAAUACGUAGAUAUCUACCUCCAGGCCCGGGAUAGCCGCGGGAAACUGCGGGUAAUACCGGAUAACGUCUCCGGACCAAAGGUGAGAUUCCGCCUGGAGACGAGUCUGCGUCCUAUUAGCUAGUUGGUGAGGUAACGGCUCACCAAGGCGACGAUGGGUACGAGGCGUGAGAGCGUGUCCUCGCUCACUGGGACUGGGACACUGCCCAGACACCUACGGGUGGCUGCAGUCGAGAAUCUUCGUCAAUGGGCGCAAGCCUGAACGAGCGACGCCGCGUGCGGGAUGAAGGCCUUCGGGUUGUAAACCGCUGUCAGAGGGGAUGAAAUGCCGGGAGGUUCUCCUUUCGGUUUGACAGAUCCUCAGAGGAAGUACGGGCUAAGUUCGUGCCAGCAGCCGCGGUAAUAC